GGUUGGGCCUUAGGCAAUUGCAUUGGUGGUUAACUCCGCCAGGCCCGGAAGGGAGCAACGGUACCCAAACGAUGCCUUGUGUCUAUACGCCCGGCCGCU
rnacentral:SRP_RNA from 1 species